GUUUUUUGAAAACACUUGGUGUGAAAGGAAACACCAUACUGCAGAGUACUGCAGAAGUGGAUGAAACUGUUGAUGUCUCCUACCUGGAAAAGCUCCAAGCAAGAGAGACUUUGAAACUUUCCCAAGGAGUCACAUUCUGGAUUUGUGUUGCUUUAUUUUGAAGUCUAAGACAUACAGGUGGCUGUGCUGUGGCAUGUUGGAGCUCAAUAUGGCUGCUCGUCCCCUGGUUGACAAUGGCCAGUAGCGGUGAUGGUAGAAGUUAAGAAGCCUACAGCAAUACAGCCACUGGUGUCUCUGAAAUGUAAGCAACGGAAACAGCACCUCAGGAGAAUGUAAAAUUCUCUAUGGAAACACCUCAGCUGUACAGAAAAGUGAAAAAGUCUGAUUGGAAUGCAAGAAAUGACAUUAUUAAAUACGAGAAUGAAGAUCACCAGGGAAAUAAUCUAACUGCUGACGCUCUAAUCUUAACUGAGUGCUUCUAAAUAAUCGCUAAUCAGAAGCUUGAUUUGAACUGAAACAGACUGGUCUAAGUGCUUGACUAUUCAAAAUGAGUGCGAGAGAUUUGGUGGAAAGUUCUACUGCAUUAAAUAUACA
ensembl:lncRNA